UUGCCGAGGCAAGUCAUGGCAGGUGCAAUCGUUCUCAUAUCUGUGGAUACUGGACUACAAAAACCAUAAAGACAGGACGAAAGUGGACAAAGGAAGAGGCCGGUUUUGGAUUCAGACGAUCACCAUGGUGAGCCACAGCCCGGCGCGCGUUGUGCUCAUGUUCGUUGGAUUGUCGGCCUUCUUAGUCUCCAUCACGCUCAACUCUCUGUCGGGAUUUGGUGCUAAAUCAGGUGUUUUCAAGCAGAGCACGGAGGACGUGACGCUCAAGUACACGACACCCAUCACUCCCGCCCAGUGGGCUCUGUUUGUUUGGGAUUUCAUCUUUUUUUGGGUUUUCGGCAUGUUUUUAUACUUUUUAGUGGGACUCUGUCGAAGGAGGGCUUACAACUGGAUGUACACCACGCCUGCAGUGCUGCCCUACGGGUUUCACGUCUCUUUCAUCAUCAAUAUUUGCUUGAACAUUACAUGGCUGUUUCUGUUUGACAGAGAGUUGUUGCUGCCAGCGCUGAUCGUCUCCACACUAAUGACGCUCACGGAUUAUAUGAUCCUAUUCUUCUCCUGUCAUGGACUGAAGGUCUAUGGAGCGUGGUUACACAAAUAUUACAAUGCAGACUUCUGGGUCAUCAGAAUAUUGGUGCAGAACGGAGUAGCAGUGUAUGCGACGUGGGGGACCCUCUCCACGCUGCUCAGCCUGACCACGUACUUGCAGCAUCAGACGGAGACCUUGAGGUGUGACUGUGCGAUGCUGUCGCUGCUGCUGCUCCUGAUGGAGCUGUUGGCCUGGUUUCUGUUAGAGAACUUCUACCUCGACGAGCACGUGCGUUACAUUGUGACCAUCUACCCCGUUGUGAUCCUGUGGUUGACCGGCAUCCUGAGCAAUUCGGACUACCCUGAAAGUCCGGUUUACAUAUUUGCAGCUUUCAUCUUGGCGAUUUCCUGCAUGGUCUUCGUGGCACGUGUUGCCAUGGUAACAUGGAGGCAUCACAAACAGCCGCUAUACAGCGACAGUAGACCCAGUCUGUCACCAGUGGAAAUAGCCUUAACACAGACGGUGGACAAACGCCAUGGUGAGGCUCCAGAUGUCUUCCCUCGCUGUGGCGCGCGGUGCCCACGGAGUGAUGCGCGGUGGGAGCGUCGCCCUGGCCGUCAUCGCCCAGGUGCUCUCAGACGUCUUCCGUUACCUCGCAAAGGAAAGCAACGUGCCCAACGCUCUGUUUGCGACCUCGCCCAGGAAUGUGAGCGAGACCUUCCCCCUGGAGGUCACCAUGGACUGGUGGUCUGACAGCUGCUGGCUUAUCAUCGACUUGUGGUCCAAGGGAUGGCUCUUGUAUGCGGUGGUCAACAUUAUUGUGAGAGCAGACCUCGGCCCUGAAAUCCACCCCGCGGUAUUCUAUCUCUCCUGGACCGCGAUUAACGUGGCAAGGAUUUGCUUGAUGUAUCUAUGGGACAAACACGAUCUACUGGGAGCCGUCAUACUGGGGUGGGUUCCCCCAUUCCUCGGCUUCUACAUGCUCUACGUGUCCUGCUCUAACCUCAGAGCGCACGAGGCCUGGCUGGCCGUUAACAGGCCCCGUGCGCUCUCCUGGACGCGUUACCUGACCCAGAACGGUUUGGCGGCGUUUGCCUGGUGGUCUCUCCUGAACGCCGUGCUGGGUCUCGGCAUCGUGCUCAAGUACAGAGCCCGUGUGCCCGACCCACUGACGAGCACCUUUGUGCUCACCGUCGUCUCCUCCUGCAUCAUAAUAUGGUUCAUCCUACAGAGCUGCCUGUUGGCCAAGUACAUGCGCUACGUAUUCAGCGUUUAUGCCAUUCUCAUCGUGGGCCUGGGUGCCAUGUUCACCAGAAGCUACCGUUUGCACGAUCUCGCCGCAAACACAGUCUAUUGUGGUUUCCUAAUGCUCCUGAUGACCAUCAUGAACUCCAUCCAUUCGGUCUCCACGUGUCUCAGUGCGGAUGAGUCAAACAAACCCGCCGCCGCGGAGCCGUCCGCCACGUCUAAGGGCCGUGAGACAGUCUGGCACACCGACCUCAGGGGCCCCGACGUCAAGAACGGCCCCUUCAAGAUCUGAGUUCACGCGAUAGAAGAGAACAAUCACACGAAUCCAAUCGCGUCGAGCAGGUGUGCACUUUACAUUAAUCACCAGGAGGGAGCAGCACAGACCAGCUUCAAAGCACAGUGGUUCCAGAUGUAGAGAGAAAGUCCACAUGUUGAGCACGCGAAUAAAAACUGCAUUUGAUCAAUUAGAUUAACAGAUUAAAAGGAUAUCAUCUAGUGAGGUUCAUGGUACUUUUGUUUUAUUGAGGCCAAAUUGCAUUUUCGUCUUCUACAAUAAAGGAAGGAAAUAAACUAUUGCACACUGGAGCUCUCAGUCACAAACUGAAUCAUAAUUGCUUGUUAUCUUUACUGUCGGUUGCCCAUGACGAUGACCUUUUUUUAGAUUGUCGAACAAAACAAAAGUUCAUUAAAACCCCUGCAUGACCUCUCAGGAGAGAUAAUCACACGGCCAAAGUUUACAGGCGCCCUCCGGCUCGAUGCGGCGUUAAGGAACGGAUUAUCAAACACGUCUGCUGGCGACGACGCUGCGC
ensembl:lncRNA